UACGUAGGGUGCGAGCGUUGUCCGGAAUUAUUGGGCGUAAGGGGCUCGUAGGCGGUUUGUCGCGUCGGGAGUGAAAACACCGGGCUUAACUCGGUGCUUGCUUUCGAUACGGGCAGACUAGAGGUAUGCAGGGGAGAACGGAAUUCCUGGUGUAGCGGUGAAAUGCGCAGAUAUCAGGAGGAACACCGGUGGCGAAGGCGGUUCUCUGGGCAUUACCUGACGCUGAGGAGCGAAAGUGUGGGGAGCGAACAGG
rnacentral:rRNA from 1 species